GCGCUACCAUGCAGUCGAACGGCAGCACAGAGGAGCUUGCUCCUUGGGUGGCGAGUGGCGGACGGGUGAGGAAUGCAUCGGAAUCUGCCUAUUUGUGGGGGAUAACGUAGGGAAACUUACGCUAAUACCGCAUACGUCCUACGGGAGAAAGUGGGGGACCUUCGGGCCUCACGCAGAUAGAUGAGCCGAUGCCGGAUUAGCUAGUUGGCGGGGUAAAGGCCCACCAAGGCGACGAUCCGUAGCUGGUCUGAGAGGAUGAUCAGCCACACUGGAACUGAGACACGGUCCAGACUCCUACGGGAGGCAGCAGUGGGGAAUAUUGGACAAUGGGCGCAAGCCUGAUCCAGCCAUGCCGCGUGUGUGAAGAAGGCCUUCGGGUUGUAAAGCACUUUUGUCCGGAAAGAAAAGCGCUCGAUUAAUACUCGGGUGUUAUGACGGUACCGGAAGAAUAAGCACCGGCUAACUUCGUGCCAGCAGCCGCGGUAAUACGAAGGGUGCAAGCGUUACUCGGAAUUACUGGGCGUAAAGCGUGCGUAGGUGGUUUGUUAAGUCUGAUGUGAAAGCCCUGGGCUCAACCUGGGAACUGCAUUGGAAACUGGCUUACUAGAGUGCGGUAGAGGGGUGUGGAAUUCCCGGUGUAGCAGUGAAAUGCGUAGAUAUCGGGAGGAACAUCUGUGGCGAAGGCGACACCCUGGACCAGCACUGACACUGAGGCACGAAAGCGUGGGGAGCAAACAGGAUUAGAUACCCUGGUAGUCCACGCCCUAAACGAUGCGAACUGGAUGUUGGGGGCAACUUGGCCCUCAGUAUCGAAGCUAACGCGUUAAGUUCGCCGCCUGGGAAGUACGGU
rnacentral:rRNA from 1 species